AUUGAACGCUAGCGGGAUGCUUUACACAUGCAAGUCGAACGGCAGCGCGGACUUCGGGCUGGCGGCGAGUGGCGAACGGGUGAGUAAUGUAUCGGAACGUGCCCAGUAGCGGGGGAUAACUACGCGAAAGCGUAGCUAAUACCGCAUACGCCCUACGGGGGAAAGCAGGGGAUCGUAAGACCUUGCACUAUUGGAGCGGCCGAUAUCGGAUUAGCUAGUUGGUGAGGUAACGGCUCACCAAGGCGACGAUCCGUAGCUGGGUUGAGAGGACGACCAGCCACACUGGAACUGAGACACGGCCCAGACUCCUACGGGAGGCAGCAGUGGGGAAUUUUGGACAAUGGGGGCAACCCUGAUCCAGCCAUCCCGCGUGUGCGAUGAAGGCCUUCGGGUUGUAAAGCACUUUUGGCAGGAAAGAACCGUCGCGGGCUAAUCCCCCGUGAAACUGACGGUACCUGCAGAAUAAGCACCGGCUAACUACGUG
rnacentral:rRNA from 1 species